rnacentral:misc_RNA from 1 species
UUUAGGGAGACCUACCCACUCAAAUAUCGAAAGCAAUCAGUCAAUAGAUAUUGAGUUGGUCAUCCUAAGGUCGGUCGAGAUUGGUUGAAAGCUUUCAAAGUAUUAUUAAUUCGGUUUUUGAACUAUAUUAAACAUCGGAUAGGCCAACUCAGCAAUUGACGAGAGAGUCAAACUGCUGGGAGACAAACCAGCCAGAACCUUGAAAACUGCAUAGUGACGCGAAAGAAUAGCAGGCAGACACAGACGUGAUUAUUUGAAUGAUGUCAGUGGAUGCAUGGAGAAACACCAAAAUGUUUGAGU